CGCGCCGCGUGUUCCCGACCCGCCGAGGCCGAGACCUCGGGCAACCUCAGCAGUGCGCCUGGCUGCACUGUCUCCGUCUGCGGCCUGCAGUAAGCGGACUAUGGAAAUGAUGUUAGACAAAAAGCAAAUUCAAGCGAUUUUCUUAUUCGAGUUAAAAAUGGGUCAUAAAGCAGUGGAGACACUUCGCAACAUCAACAACACACUUGGCCCAGGAACUGCUAAUGAACAUAUAGUACAGUGGUGGUUCAAGAAGUUUUGCAAAGAAGACGAGAGCCUUGAAGAUGAGAAGCAUAGUGUCUGGCCAUCGGAAGUUGACAAUGACCAACUGAAAGCUCUCAUUGAAGUUGAUCCUCUUAAAACUACACGAGAAGUUGCCCAAGAACUCAACCAUUGACCGUUCUAUGGCCAUCUAGCAUUUGAAGCAAAUUGGAAAGGUGAAAAAGCUCAAUAAGUGGGUGCCUCAUGACCUUACCAAAAAUUAAAAAAAUCGUCAUUUUGAAGUGUCAUCUUCUCUUAUUCUGUGCAACAACAACGAACCAUUUCUUGAUCAGAUUGUGAUGUGUGACAAAAAGUCGAUUUUAUAUGACAACCGGCAACAACCAGCUCUAUGGCUGUACUGAGAAGCAGCUCUAAAGCACUUCCCAAAGCCAACCUUGCACCAAAAAAAGGUCACGGUCACUGUUUGGUGGUCUGCUGCUGGUCUGAUCCACUGGAACUUUCUGAAUCCCAGUGAAACCAUUACAUCUGAGAAGUAUGCCCAGCAAAUCGAUGAGAUGCACCGAAAACUGCAAGGCCUGCUGUGGCAUUGCUCAACAGAAAGGGCCCAGUUAUUCUCCAUGACAACAACCACACAUCGCAUAACCAGCACUUCAAAUGUUGAGGCCGGGUGCGGUGGCUCACGCCUGUAAUCCCAACAUUUUGGGAGGCCAAGGUGGACGGAUCACUUGAGGUCAGGAGUUCGAGAACAGCCUGGCCAACAUGGUGAAACCUGUCUCUACUAAAAAUACAAAAAUUAGCUGGGUAUGGUAGCUGGCGCCUGUAAUCCCAGCUACUCGAGAGGCUGAGGCAAGAGAACUGCUUGAACCCGGAAGGUGGAGGUUGCGGUGAGCCAAGAUUGUGCCACUGCACUCCAGCCUUGGCGACAGAGUGAGACUUCAUUUCAAAAAAAAAAAAAAAAAAGUUGAACGAAUUGGGCUAUGAAAUUUUGCCUCAUCCACCAUAUUCACCUGACCUCUUGCCAACAGACUACCACUUCUUCAAGCAUCCCAGCAGUUUUGCAGGGAAGAAGAACCAGCAGGAUGCAGAAAAUGCUUUCCAAGAGUUCGCUGAAUCCCAAAGCACAGAUUUUUACGCUACAGGAAUAAACAAACUUAUUUCUUAUUGGAAAAAA